GAUGAACGCUGGCGGCGUGCCUAACACAUGCAAGUCGAACGAACAGACGAUUAGCUUGCUCCUCUACCGUUGGCGGCGGACGGAUGAGUUACACGUACAUCACCUUCCUCUUUGUCUUGGUUAACAACGUGAAGCCGCUUCCGAUACCGCAUCAUAUAUUCAACCGCAUGGUUCAAUAGUUCUUGGCGCUUUUGCUGUCUCUUAUAGAUGGUUUCGCGUCGCAUUAGCUAGUUGGUAAGGUCACGGCUUACCAAGGCUACGAUGCGUGGCCGACCUGAGAGGGUGAACAGCCACACUGGAACUGAGACACGGUCCAGACUCCUACGGGAGGCAGCAGUAGGGAAUAUUGGGCAAUGGGCGAAAGCCUGAAGAAGAAACGCAGCGUGGGUGAAGAAGGUCUUCGGGUCGUAAAACUCUGUUAUUGGGGAAGAAAAAAUGUAGAAGAAGCUAUGCACGUCGUGACGGUACCUAAAGAAAAAGCAACGGCUAACUACGUG
rnacentral:rRNA from 1 species